UACGGAGGGUGCAAGCGUUGUCCGGAUUUAUUGGGUUUAAAGGGUGCGUAGGCGGUCGUUUAAGUCUGGGGUGAAAGCCCGUUGCUCAACAACGGAACUGCCCUGGAAACUGGACGACUUGAGUACAGACGAGGGUGGCGGAAUGGAUGGUGUAGCGGUGAAAUGCAUAGAUACCAUCCAGAACCCCGAUUGCGAAGGCAGCUCACUACGGGAUUAUUGACACUGAGGCACGAAAGCGUGGGGAGCAAACAGG
rnacentral:rRNA from 1 species